CGUUACCUCCGGUAUCGACGGCUUUCACCAUUACGACUACAAGUUCACAACCGUACGUACUAUCAGUUGUUGCGUACAUUACAAUCUAUUGAGAUAUAUACGCUUCAAACGUUUUAAUAUAAUAUUCGAUAUUAUAUUUUUUCUUCGACAUCCACCAAAAUUACGGAUGUCAUGAGCGACCGCAAGAAAUACGAUUUCGAUCCAGACAAGGACAUUUUUAUAAAUGGUUAUGAAUGCGGGCUCAGACCAGAGCGAAUACUUGCGAUUGUUCAAAUGCGAGGAUUAAGUUAUUGUUUAAUGAAGUGGAAUGAAACCGAGGACGCAUCAUAUGUCACAUUCAAUUUUGCAAGAGAUAAAUUUCCAGUGACCGUGAUAAUGUUUUAUGAACAACUUGUUCGUCAGGAUUUAAGAGAAUAAAUAGUAAAUAUAAUUUCAUUUUUUAUUUCGUGGAGCCAUUAAUAUGCUAAAAAAAAAUCCAUGUUUUGAAAAAAUAAAGUUUGAUUUCAAAAACAAAAA